UUCUUCUCCAAGACACAGGACAGAGAUGAACUGAAUGGCUCCAAUCAUCAGAAUGUGAAGUCUACCACAGAAUCAAUCUAUUUGGAGCAUUCUCUUCUUUAGCAAAGCAGACUGUUUCCUGAGGUGUUUGGAAGUGCUUGGCUACAUUAACAUGCAGUAAAGAAUCUUACUGGAAGAAGUUCUGAGCUGAAGACUGAUGAGGCCUGGAUUUUGUUAUCUAUCUGUAAAUCCGCUGCAUAUUUUGAGCAGAUCUAGGGGAGAGAAUACUACACAAAGUUCUCAAAGCUGUGAUUUCUCAUGAGCAAGGCACAUGUUAAGAUAGGUGAACAAUGUUAGGAGGACAGCUCAGUCUUCAGCCUGUUUACAAGGAUAUUCUAAGUGGCUCCCUGAGGUUUCCCAUAUGAACUUGAUCAAAGAGGCAUGAUUUGCCCAUGCCUUGAAUUAACCUGCUGAAGCUCCCAAGAUGUACAAUGUGAAUGUUGGUUCUUUUCCUCAAGCCUUAAGUAAAAGCCUUAUGCCGAGUUGUAAAGAGGAGGAAUUAGCUGCCUUACCACACAAGAUGCUGCUGCUCUGUAAUAACAAUGUGCUCCACAAAUUUCCCAGAACAUCACAUUAAGGUGAUUUGGGGAGAUGUAUUGGGAUGAAAUUAGAUCUGGAGAAUUCUUUGGACUCUUCCAUGAACUGAAAUUAGGAUGUCUCACAAGAAGGUAGCAGAGAAUUUUUUUAAAAAUGAGAAAAAGACACUGAUGAUUUCACUAUUGUAAAUGACAUUGUCGAACGAAUGGGAGAUUUUAAAGUCAUCGCACAAGUCACACAAGGACAUACAUGAAGAAAACUUCAGGUCCCUGUCUGUCUCCGCUUUGUGUGUCCUCACUGCUACUACCCUGUCUUUUUCGCUCCUUUUAGCCGUUUCUUGCUGCCCCAACACUAUAUCUAGUGUUGGUUUAGUAGGACGCUAAUGUUCAAUGGCAGUGAUCAUAAAGAUGGUGACUCCUGUCUCUUUCUUUGCUCCUAACUCCACCCAUUUUACUACCACCUCUCAAAACGUUUGUUUCCCAGUGAUAUGAGAGUUUCAGAUGUGAUAAAAUGUCCAUGCAGCUUAUGAAGCCCACAUCUUGGUUUGGUUUCUUUUCAGGAAAAGUAGUGGUUCAUUAUUUUAUUUUUAUGAGCUUACCGUGUAAAUGCGAGCCUGUUAAGUGAGUUAUUGCCAGCAAUCAGGGCCAUUUGUUACAUAACAUCAGUAAGAGGGACUCAGGUGAGAAACAACCUUGAUUGUAGGUGUUUAGUCCCAAUGUACAUCAGUUGUAACUCCUUAAAUGUAUUUCUUCUAGUAGCUAAUUUGAAAUACUUUAUCAGUGAAAGUCUUGACACAACAGUUAUAUGAACAUACAUAGUAAAACAUGAGGAAAUUAAAUCAGACUUAUAAUGUAAACCUUAACAAAAUGAUGGCUUAAUUUGUACUCACUUUGUAAUUUUAACUAAAUAUUGUGGUAAGUAGUUCUUACUUAAAUCCUAAGUAUGUGGGCAUUUAUUAUACACAAUAUGAAAAUACUUCAAGAGGUUUGUGAUUAACGCUGUGGUAUUCAAGCAUAGUUUACAGCGACUUUCAAUCAAAGACAAAAGGCUCAAGCAGAUGAUGAAACAUGUUAAAAAGAUGUAUGUGUACACCCAAGGACUUAAUUCAGACCUGCUUGCUCAUGGUAGCUCAGUUGUAGCUUUUAUCCCCUAACAAGUAUCCCUGGAGCUUGGCACAGGACUAUCCAUAGGGCAGAGUAACCAGACAAAGUCCAAGAUUGCCUAGUUAAGUUGAAUUUCAGAUCAACAAUGGAUAUUUUCAUAUAAAAUUAUAUUCCAGUCAUUGAAUACAGCAUGCUAUACCAAUAAUGUGGUUAUUAGAAAAUCAACUAUCUCUGA